AAACUUUUUUCAGCUGUUUACACAUACAAUUACAACACUUACAUUUGUUUACAAUUGGAAUUGAAUUGGAGAAAGCUUUAGUUAGAACGAGAAAAAAUAUUGCCACUGUAAGCAUAUUGAUAUAAUAACAUGCUAAAAGAAGACAUAUAUUACAUUAAAAAAAAAGAAAAACUGAAAUUGAAGCGGCAAUUUGGCCAUUUUAUAAAAAAUUUGGGCUUAAAGAGAGGAGAUAUAUAAAAGAAUUAAUUUUAAAAGGCAAAAUCAAAGCAAAGACAACGACCGGGACUUCAUUUUAUACAAAAGAAAAUGCAACAAUAUAUCUAUUAUAUUUGUUCCUGCUAUUCCUGCAAGGACCACAAGACGACAGGGCUUUAUUUCGCCAACAAUGUUAAAAUACAUACAUAUAUGUAGAUUAAGAAUAAAAUAAGAUUAUAUAUCAUUUGAAUUGUUAAAUUAGAACAUAAAUUGCAUAAUUAUAAUAAUUUAUAUAUAAAUAUAAUUUUAAUGUUAAUAACUUGCAAAUGUAAAAAAUUAAUAAUAGCUUAAACUGUUUAAGUUUAUAAGAUUGUACUAUCUACAUAUUUGAUUUUGUAAUGAUUGAAAAUGUAAUAAAAUAAAUUAAAAAACAAAAAAAAAAAGAAUUG